rnacentral:rRNA from 1 species
UACGUAGGGGGCUAGCGUUGUCCGGAAUCAUUGGGCGUAAAGAGCGCGUAGGCGGCCAGAUAAGUCCGGUGUGAAAGUCAAAGGCUCAACCUUUGAAUGCCGCUGGAAACUGUCUGGCUAGAGUCCGGGAGGGGCGAGUGGAAUUCCUGGUGUAGCGGUGAAAUGCGCAGAUAUCAGGAGGAACACCAAUGGCGAAGGCAGCUCGCUGGGACGUGACUGACGCUGAGACGCGACAGCGUGGGGAGCAAACAGG